rnacentral:rRNA from 1 species
CCUUAACCUGGCCUUGACAUACUAAGAACUUUCCAGAGAUGGAUUGGUGCCUUCGGGAACUUAGAUACAGGUGCUGCAUGGCUGUCGUCAGCCCGUGUCGUGAGAUGUUGGGUUAAGUCCGCAACGAGCGCAACCCUUUUCCUUAUUUGCCAGCGGGUAAUGCCGGGAACUUUAAGGAUACUGCCAGUGACAAACUGGAGGAAGGCGGGGACGACGUCAAGUCAUCAUGGCCCUUACGGCCAGGGCUACACACGUGCUACAAUGGUCGGUACAAAGGGUUGCUACCUCGCGAGAGGAUGCUAAUCUCAAAAAGCCGAUCGUAGUCCGGAUCGCAGUCUGCAACUCGACUGCGUGAAGUCGGAAUCGCUAGUAAUCGCGGAUCAGAAUGCCGCGGUGAAUACGUUCCCGGGCCUUGUACACACCGCCCGUCACACCAUGGGAGUUUGUUGCACCAGAAGUAGGUAGUCUAACCGCAAGGAGGACGCUUACCACGGUGUGGCCGAUGACUGGGGUGAAGUCGUAACAAGGUAGGCGUAGAUGA